rnacentral:rRNA from 1 species
CGGGAGGGGAGAGCGGAAUCCCGGUGUAGCGGUGAAAUGCGUAGAUAUCGGGAAGAACACCGGUGGCGAAGGCGGCUCUCUGGACCGCGACUGACGCUGAGACGCGAAAGCGUGGGGAGCAAACAGGAUUAGAUACCCUGGUAGUCCACGCCCUAAACGAUGGGCACUUGGCGUGGGGAGUUCAAAUCUUUCCGUGCCGGAGCUAACGCAUUAAGUGCCCCGCCUGGGGAGUACCGUCGCAACGCUGAAACUCCAAGGAAUUGACGGGGGCCCGCACAAGCGGUGGAGCAUGUGGUUCAAUUCGACGCAACGCGAAGAACUUUACCUGGGCUCGAACGGCUCUCGACAGUCCUGGAAACAGGGCUUCUAUGGAGCUUGCUUUUAUGCCGGGAUUCGAGGUCCUGCAUGCCUGUCGUCAGCUCGUGCCGUGAGCUCUUCGGUUAAGUCCGCCAACGAGCGCAACCCCUGCCCUUAGUUACCAGCGGGUUAUGCCGGGGACUCUAAGGGGACUGCCCUGGUUAACGGGGAGGAAGGUGGGGACGACGUCAAGUCAUCACGGCCUUUAUGUCCAGGGCUACACACGUGCUACAAUGGCAGGUACAAAGAGCUGCAAACCCGCGAGGGGGAGCGAAUCUCAAAAAGCCUGUCUCAGUUCGGAUUGCAGUCUGCAACUCGACUGCAUGAAGCCGGAAUCGCUAGUAAUCGCGGAUCAGCACGCCGCGGUGAAUACGUUCCCGGGCGUUGUACACACCGCCCGUCACACCACGAAAGUCGGUUCUACCAGAAGUCGCUGAGCUAACCCGCAAGGGAGGCAGGC